rnacentral:rRNA from 1 species
AGAACGAACGCUGGCGGCAGGCCUAACACAUGCAAGUCGAGCGGACCCUUCGGGGUUAGCGGCGGACGGGUUAAUAACGCGUGGGAACGUACCCUUCUCUACGGAAUAGCCUCGGGAAACUGAGAGUAAUACCGUAUACGCCCUUAGGGGGAAAGAUUUAUCGGAGAAGGAUCGGCCCGCGUUGGAUUAGGUAGUUGGUGGGGUAAUGGCCUACCAAGCCGACGAUCCAUAGCUGGUUUGAGAGGAUGAUCAGCAACACUGGGACUGAGACACGGCCCAGACUCCUACGGGAGGCAGCAGUGGGGAAUCUUAGACAAUGGGGGAAACCCUGAUCUAGCCAUGCCGCGUGAGCGAUGAAGGCCUUAGGGUGUAAAGCUACUUUCGCUGGGGAAGAUAAUGACGGUACCAGUAAAGAGCCCGGCUAACUCCGUGCCAGCAGCCGC